UACGGAGGGUGCGAGCGUUGUUCGGAUUUACUGGGCGUAAAGCGCGCGCAGGCGGAUUGAUAAGUCAGAUGUGAAAUCUCGGGGCUUAACCUCGAAACUGCGUCUGAAACUAUUAAUCUAGAAUCUCACAGGGGGUAGGGGAAUUUCACGUGUAGGGGUAAAAUCCGUAGAGAUGUGAAGGAACACCGGAGGCGAAGGCGCCUGCCUGGAUGAGUAUUGACGCUGAGGCGCGAAAGCGUGGGGAGCAAACAGG
rnacentral:rRNA from 1 species